rnacentral:lncRNA from 1 species
AGAAAUACAAGUACAGAACUGUCUGUGAAACAAAAGCAUUUACUUAGGGAAGAUGGGAAUUCAAAUGAAUUAAACAGCUGCAAUUGGAAGGAAAGGGGCAGGAUCAUCUCUGCCAGGGCCAAAAUUCAUGUAUACCCCAAUUCUGACCCUACUCAAUCUCUUUAAGUCCACUUCCAAUCUACCUUGGAUUGUCAUCUUUGGAGAGAAGAGCCAAAAUUAGGGUGAGUGGGAUACAGAUACUUUUUUCUUUUAGUUUUUUUUUCCUUUUUUGUUAAUUUUUUACCCAUAGACU